AAGAAACAAACAAAACAAAACAAAAAAGAAGAUGAUGAUGAAGAGAAAGAGAAAUAACAACAAUAUAAAUGUGAAAGAGAAACUGGUAAGUGUGUUAUCCUUUCAAUAGCUGACGAUAAUCAUAAUAAUAAAGUAUCAUCCUAUUGUACCUAAAUUGCGGAUAUAUUUGUAAAAAAAAGUACAAACUUGAUUUACCGGCCUAAAAGAAUAAAUGAUUAAUCUACGUGUAUCAAAUGUAUUUGGAAACACUUGAUGAUUAUAUACGAUUGCAAUAUGGAAAUCGACACAAAAAUCAAUAAAAUCAACAAAUCGAAUGAUUCAUCAUGAUACUAUGACGAUAUUUUAUAAAUUGAUAAUGGUCAAAAUAUGAGAAAACGAAAAAUGUA